rnacentral:rRNA from 1 species
UACGUAGGGUGCGAGCGUUGUCCGGAAUUACUGGGCGUAAAGCGUGCGCAGGCGGUUAUGUAAGACAGAUGUGAAAUGCCCGGGCUUAACCUGGGAACUGCAUUUGUGACUGCAUGGCUAGAGUUUGGCAGAGGGGGGUAGAAUUCCACGUGUAGCAGUGAAAUGCGUAGAGAUGUGGAGGAAUACCGAUGGCGAAGGCAGCCCCCUGGGAUAACACUGACGCUCAUGCACGAAAGCGUGGGGAGCAAACAGG